rnacentral:rRNA from 1 species
CCUACGGGAGGCUGCAGUGAGGAAUAUUGGUCAAUGGCCGCAGGGCUGAACCAGCCAAGUCGCGUGAGGGAUGACGGUCCUAUGGAUUGUAAACCUCUUUUGUCAGGGAGCAAAGGGCGCCACGUGUGGCGCUUUGCGAGUACCUGAAGAAAAAGCAUCGGCUAACUCCGUGCCAGCAGCCGCGGUAAUACGGAGGAUGCGAGCGUUAUCCGGAUUUAUUGGGUUUAAAGGGUGCGCAGGCGGAAUGUCAAGUCAGCGGUAAAAUUUCGGGGCUCAACCCCGUCGUGCCGUUGAAACUGGCGUUCUUGAGUGAGCGAGAAGUAUGCGGAAUGCGUGGUGUAGCGGUGAAAUGUAUAGAUAUCACGCAGAACUCCGAUUGCGAAGGCAGCAUACCGGCGCUCAACUGACGCUCAUGCACGAAAGCGUGGGUAUCGAACAGGAUUAGAUACCCGAGUAGUC